rnacentral:rRNA from 1 species
ACGAUGGGGGCUACAUGCAGUCGACGGUAGCACAGAGAGCUUGCUCUCGGGUGACGAGUGGCGGACGGGUGAGUAAUGUCUGGGAAACUGCCUGAUGGAGGGGGAUAACUACUGGAAACGGUAGCUAAUACCGCAUAACGUCGCAAGACCAAAGAGGGGGACCUUCGGGCCUCUUGCCAUCAAAUGUGCCCAGAUGGGAUUAGCUAGUAGGUGGGGUAACGGCUCACCUAGGCGACCAUCCCUAGCUGGUCUGAAAGGAUGACCAGCCACACUGGAACUGACACACGGUCCACACUCCUACGGGAGGCAGCAGUGGGGAAUAUUGCACAAUGGGCGCAAGCCUGAUGCAUCCAUGCCGCGUGUAUGAAGAAGGCCUUCGGGUUGUAAAGUACUUUCAGCGGGGAGGAAGGUGUUGUGGUUAAUAACCACAGCAAUUGACGUUACCCACAGAACAAGCACCGGCUAACUCCGUGCCAGCAGCCGCGGUAAUACGGAGGGUGCAAGCGUUAAUCGGAAUUACUGGGCGUAAAGCGCACGCACGCGGUCUGUCAAGUCGGAUGUGAAAUCCCCGGGCUCAACCUGGGAACUGCAUUCGAAACUGGCAGGCUGGAGUCUUGUAGAGGGGGGUAGAAUUCCAGGUGUAGCGGUGAAAUGCGUACAGAUCUGGAGGAAUACCGGUGGCGAAGGCGGCCCCCUGGACAAAGACUGACGCUCGGUGCGAAAGCGUGGGGAGCAAACAGGAUUAGAUACCCUGGUAGUCCACGCCGUAAACGAUGUCUAUUUGGAGGUUGUGCCCUUGAGGCGUGGCUUCCCGGAGCUAACGCAAUAAAUCGACCGCCUGGGGAGUGCGGCCGCGAUGUUAAAAACUCAAAUGAAUUGACGGGGGGCCCCGCACCAGCGGAGGGAGCAUGUGUUUUUAAUUUCGAUGCGACGACGAAGCAAUCCUUACCUGGUCUUGACAUCCACAGCUCCUAUACCAAAUGAUGUGAUUUGGCUGUCGUUCAAGUACUAUGAAGAACAAGCUGCAUGCAUUGCCUGGUCGUUCAGCUCGUGUCGUGAAAAUGGUUGGGGAUUUAAGGUCCCAGCACGGCAGCGAUCCAUCAUUCUUGCUUGCCAUUCGCCUCAUGCCUGGGUACUCUAAAGCU